AUGAGUAGCGAAUGACGGGUGGAAAACCCGUCCGCCGAUUAUCCAAGGGUUCCAGGGUCAAGUUAAUCUGCCCUGGGUGAGUCGGGACCUAAGGCGAGGCCGACAGGCGUAGUCGAUGGAUAACCAGUUGAUAUUCUGGUACCGGCUUGUCACCGUCCGUGUCGAGGUGUGUGAUGCUAAGCGUGCGAGCCUGCCAUUGUGAUGUCUUUGAUGUUGUGGUGGUGUGGUGAGUGUGUGAACCGAUCAUGUAGUAGGCAAGCUGCGGAGGGACGCAGUGAGGUAGCUCAUCCCCGGCGAUGGUUGUCCGGGGCUAAAUGUGUGGACCGUCUGGUAGGUAAAUCCGCUGGGCAUAUGGUUGAGGCAUGAUGGCGAGCCCACGUGUGUGGGUGAGUGAGUGAUCCUGUACUGUCGAGAAAAGCUUCGUGAGCGAGGUGGCUGGUCCGCCCGUACCCUAAACCGACACUGGUGGAUAGGUAGAGUAUACCGAGGCGAUCGAGAUCAUCAUGGUGAAGGAACUCGGCAAAAUGCCCCCGUAACUUCGGGAUAAGGGGGACCUGAACUGUUAAGGACUGUACGGCUGGUAGCAGUGAGGGGCGCAGAGACCAGGGGGAAACGACUGUUUACCAAAAACACAGGUCCGUGCGAAGUCGUAAGACGAUG
rnacentral:rRNA from 1 species